rnacentral:rRNA from 1 species
AGGAAUCUGCCUAUUAGUGGGGGACAACAUCUCGAAAGGGAUGCUAAUACCGCAUACGUCCUACGGGAGAAAGCAGGGGACCUUCGGGCCUUGCGCUAAUAGAUGAGCCUAAGUCGGAUUAGCUAGUUGGUGGGGUAAAGGCCUACCAAGGCGACGAUCUGUAGCGGGUCUGAGAGGAUGAUCCGCCACACUGGGACUGAGACACGGCCCAGACUCCUACGGGAGGCAGCAGUGGGGAAUAUUGGACAAUGGGGGGAACCCUGAUCCAGCCAUGCCGCGUGUGUGAAGAAGGCCUUUUGGUUGUAAAGCACUUUAAGCGAGGAGGAGGCUACCGAGAUUAAUACUCUUGGAUAGUGGACGUUACUCGCAGAAUAAGCACCGGCUAACUCUGUGCCAGCAGCCGCGGUAAUACAGAGGGUGCAAGCGUUAAUCGGAUUUACUUGGCGUAAAGCGCGCGUAGGUGGCCAAUUAAGUCAAAUGUGAAAUCCCCGAGCUUAACUUGGGAAUUGCAUUCGAUACUGGUUGGCUAGAGUAUGGGAGAGGAUGGUAGAAUUCCAGGU